AGAUUGAACGCUAGCGGGAUGCUUUACACAUGCAAGUCGAACGGCAGCGCGGACUUCGGUCUGGCGGCGAGUGGCGAACGGGUGAGUAAUAUAUCGGAACGUGCCCAGUAGCGGGGGAUAACUACGCGAAAGCGUGGCUAAUACCGCAUACGCCCUACGGGGGAAAGGGGGGAUCGCAAGACCUCUCACUAUUGGAGCGGCCGAUAUCAGAUUAGCUAGUUGGUGAGGUAAAGGCUCACCAAGGCGACGAUCUGUAGCUGGUUUGAGAGGACGACCAGCCACACUGGGACUGAGACACGGCCCAGACUCCGUACGGGAGGCAGCAGGUGGGAAUUUGGACAAGUGGGGAAACCUGAUCCAGCCAGUCCCGCGUGUGCGAUAGGAAGGCCGUUCGGGUUAGUAAGUCUACGUUUGGACGUAGGAAGAAACGGCGUCGACCCGUAAGUACGGACGUACGACGUACG
rnacentral:rRNA from 1 species